GAACUCCAAGGGCAGGAGGUAACCAUUAAAGAGGACCAUCAUGUAGUGUGAGGAGUCAACAUUUCACACUAGAAAGCCCUUGGUUCAAGUUUUGUCUCUGCCACCUACAGAUUUUGUAACCCUGAGGAAACUAGCUACCUCUUUAUGUACUGCCCUAUGGAGAGGCACACAUGUCAAGAAACUGAGGGAGUGCCUUCCAGUCAACAGCCAGCCAGGAACUAAGGUGCUCAGUACAGCAGCCUCCACAAAGGACUGAACAAUGCCAACAGCUAUUUGACUGUGCUUGGAAGAUCUCCGUUUAGUUAACCCUUCAGAUGAGACCGCAGCCCUGGCCAGCAAACAAAUUGCAGCCUAUGGAAAGACCUUAAGGCAGAAGCACCCAACUGAACCACCCGAGGGCUCUGACUUACAGAAACUGUGAGCAUAUAGUGAAAUGGCCUCUACCUUAUUUUGAAUGGAUUUCUGGGAUAAAGUUCUUCAGUGAUAACAUGUUUGAAGACACUGAAGGAAUUAACCAGAAAGAAAAGAAGAGAAGAAGGAGAAGAAAGAAGAAGAAGAAGAAGGAGAAGGAGAAGGAGACGAGGGAAGAGGGAGAAGAGAGAGAAGAGGGAGGAAAAGAAGAAGAAGAAGAAGAAGAAGAAGAG
rnacentral:lncRNA from 1 species